ACGAGUUUUCCAACUCCCAACCCUUUGUGAACAUACCUAUCGUUGCUUCGGCGGACUCGCCCAGCGCCUGGACGCGGGCCUGGGCGGCGGCCGUCGGGGGCCCCAAACACUGUAUCUACCAGUUUUUCUGAAUCCGCCGCAAGGCAAAACAAAUGAAUCA
rnacentral:misc_RNA from 1 species